GAUGAACGCUAGCGGCAGGCCUAAUACAUGCAAGUCGAGGGGCAACAGGUGUAGCAAUACAUGCUGGCGACCGGCGCACGGGUGCGUAACACGUAUGUAAUCUACCCUUUACUGGAAGAUAGCCCGGAGAAAUUCGGAUUAAUACUCCAUAACACUAUAACAUGGCAUCAUGAAGUAGUUAAAGAUUUAUCGGUAAAGGAAGAGCAUGCGGCUGAUUAGCUAGUUGGUGAGGUAACGGCUCACCAAGGCAACGAUCAGUAGGGGACCUGAGAGGGUGAUCCCCCACACUGGUACUGAGAUACGGACCAGACUCCUACGGGAGGCAGCAGUAGGGAAUAUUGGGCAAUGGAGGCAACUCUGACCCAGCCAUGCCGCGGGCAGGAAGACGGCCUUCUGGGUUGUAAACUGCUUUUGAUCGGGAACAAAGAGCCCUUGCGAGGGAAGUUGAGUGUACCGAUAGAAUAAGCACCGGCUAACUCCGUGCCAGCCGCCGCCGUAA
rnacentral:rRNA from 1 species